rnacentral:RNase_P_RNA from 1 species
UUGGUGGUCCACACGGUCGCCGGUGCAGGCAAGCCUGGCAUCGGAGGAAAGUCCGGGCUCCACAGAACAUGACGCCGGGUAACACCCGGGAGCCGUGAGGCUAUAGAAAGUGCCACAGAAAAUAUACCGNNGAAAUGGUGGGGUAAGAGCCCACCGCGAACCUGGUAACAGGGACGGCAUGGUAAACCUCGUCAGGAGCAAGACCAAGCAGCAGGUGGGUUGUUCGUCCAUGAGCCUGCGGGUAGGUCGCACGAGCAUUUCGGUAACGGAAUGCCUAGAUAGAUGGCCGUAGUAGACAGAACCCGGCUUAUGGUCCACCAAAUUU